CGCACCACUGCACUUGAGUCUGGGAGACAGAGCAAAACUCUGUCUUAAAAAAACCAAAAAAAUUUGACUACCUUUGCUCUAGAAAACAUAGGGUAUCUGGUUUAAAUGCCAGUUAGUUCCACUAGGCUUUGGUGGCCCACUGUGAAAGUUGCUGUUGGAUGUACACACACACACACACACACACACACACACACACACACACACACACACACACACACACACACACACAGUCCUGAGGCAGUAGGAUGAGUCUGUCUUCAUCCCUUUCUCUGGGGAGUUCUCCAGGUGUGGUAGCUUUGGAUAGAGCCUCCCCUCAUUCAGUUAUUCAGCAAACACUCAAGCAGAGGCUACUACAUGCCAGUCACUCUGCUAAGCAGGGAGGUGAAAAGGUUACUAAUAAAUACACAGUUCCUCUUCUCCAGGAACUCACUGUUUGACCAAUGAGACAGACGUGAAGCUCUAAUUACAACAACAUGCAAUCAAGCCUGUGCCUGAGUAUCGAGUCUAUGGGAAUGCAGAGGAGAAAUGAUUCAUUUGCCUGGCUUCUUGGGAAGCGAGAGGAUCUCAGCCUAUUGGGGAGACAGCUAUAACCACCAGCAACCAUGGCCAGCACAGAGGGAGCAAUUAAGUUGGCCACAGAAGAGAUAAUACUUCAACUGAGCUUUUCUUCUAGAAGAUGAAUCAAUUUUGUGAGGGCUUGGCCAAUAUCAAUGUCUUCAUGACUCAUCAGCUCGUUGCUAAUCCAAGGACAGCAAAUAACUACAAAUGCUGUAAGUAAGCCCAGUUAUAGACUGCUGAUGAAUUUGGUGGUCCUGGUAUGUGCCCUGCCCAAGAAUGACGGUGUCUGUCUAGGGAAUAUUUCUUUGAAUAUAAAUAGUAGGUAGUGGUUUAUCUUAGUCCAUUUAGUGUUGCUACGUAGGAAUACCUGAGACUGGGUAAUUUACAAAGGGUUUAUUUGGCUCACGAAUCUGCUGACUAAAGACUGGGCAUCUGGUGAAAGCCUUGGGCUACUUCCACUUGUGAUGGAAGAAGGCAGAGGGGAGCUGCCCUGUUCAGAGAUCAUAUGGCAAGAAGGGGAGCAAGAGCUUGUAGACAUGUGAUGUAUGACAGUCUCCAUCUUCCAGGGACUUCUGCCUCCACCCCAUCUCUUUAUAACCAGAGCCCCCAGACAGGGAAGGACUGAGUCUUUUGUGGCUAGCACAUUGGAGAUAGUUGAUUUCAUGGGCAAAUUAUAUAGAGUGACAUUUACUUUUUAUGCUGGGAAAUUUCUUCCAACAAUAUAUUUUUGUCCAACCAUCUGCUUGAGUCAAGUUUCUGUCAGCCUCUGGAAGUAAUAAUUAUUCCCUGCUCUGAAACUGAGCUUCAUGCUGGCUUUCUGCUGAGGGAGCAGACCCUUUGGCUGUCUGUUAUCUAUUGUCAAGAGUUCUUUUGUCACUCACUAUUGUCAGCUGCUGAUUUUCCAACACACGCUUUAAGGCUAUAAAUAAACCCUCCCAACACAAAUCCCCCCCCUUAUGAAAGACAAAAUACACCAGUAAAUUAGGAUAUGAUUUUUAUUCAGGCUAUUGCAAUAGGGGGACAUUCGUUAAUAAGAAAUACCUCAAAGAAAAGGAAUGAGCCUGGCUUUUAUGGAGACAAAGAGAGUCUUAAGGGAGCGUGAGGAAGGAUGGAGGUGGCUCUUACUUCAGAAUAUGCAAAACCUGCAUGGCCCUUGGCAAUUAGCCAGUUCCUACAACCCAAAAGGGCAGAAGAUUUCUUAACAUCUCUACUUUUUAGAGUAUAAGACUUAGAUUAAGUUCCACAUUGUCAGUCCUCCCUUUUGUUGAAAAUGAACAUCAUUGCCACUGUUGGGACUCAGAAAACAAUACCCCAAAAUGAAAGCCUCCAAAGUAGCCUCAGAAGCAAAGUCUCUUUCUGACCUUCUGCGCCCCCCACCCUGUCUCUCACCCCUCAUUCUCCCCUGAGAUAAACCAUAGAAACUGUGAUCCCUCUUCCCCAAGAUGGGUCAUAGAAACAAGAACUCCUUUUCCCCAAAGCCAGCCAUAAAACCUAGAAAUAUUAUUCUAACCUUCCACCAUUCUUCUGUGUAACACUUAGCCAUAAAGAAACUAAGACCCCCAUCCCAGAGGGGUCCUACCCCAUACCUGGGAGGAAGGAAUGCUGCACGGAGAGGCCAAGAAGAAGCUGAACAGCCAGGCCUUGGGUGUUGGCCAUGAUCCUUAUGAUGGGGAGGAAAGGAAUCACCAAUUUUCUGCUCCCUCCCACUGAACAACUUAGAGAUGACCUAAGGCCUCCUUACCUGUGUGAAGUAACUGGGAAUUGGAAGGUGAGGUCCAGUUAUAUCCAAGUGUUGGCAUCAAACUGUGAAACACAAAAUGCACUGGACAAUUAAGGAUAUGAUUUUAUUCAUGCCGUUGCAAUAGGGAGAACAUUUAUUAAUGAAGAAUAACUCAAAGGAAAGGAAGGGGUCCUGGUCUCCCAUGAUUCCUCAUGGAAGCCUUGGGGAAGGAUGAAGGUGGGUCUUAUCACAGAAUAUUCCAGGGCUGGGUUGUCCUUUGUGGGGAUGGUUGUUUCUUUUGAAACAUAAAAGGGUAGGAGAUUUCUUUCUCUCUCUCUCUCUCUUUUUUUUUUU